AUGCUCCGAGUCGUGUGUCGGUCUAUGAAGGAGCGCGGCACGGUGAGGAGGCCGCGGAGGACCUGUGUGGUGGUGUCAUGGAGGUGUCGUGCUGCGGUUGAGGCCGCAGCGGUGCAGGGCAAUAAGCCGUGGCGGCGAGCCGGGCGCGACUGGUGCGUGUUAUGGGUGCGCACUGAACGCGUCGGGCGCGUCGGGACCGCGGGCGCGCGUACGAGCGAGCGGUUGACGUUGGGAGGAGGCGUAUGUCGCCGUUGUGCUCGAGUCUGUGCUCGAGUUCGGCUACAUCCUUCCAGCGUUUAUCGCUGGCGGCUGCCAUGA
rnacentral:rRNA from 1 species